GUUAGUGAUAUAAAGGAAACUCUAUGCAUUACGAGAACGUGCCUAAUUGUAAACAAUCUCUGUUUACAUCUGUGUUUGCUGCUAUAAUUACGUCAGAUCUAACUCUUUUUAAUAUAACCUCUCCUGUGACACUGCGUCAGUCACCCAUAUAAAUAAGGACAAGCAUCAGCACAAUACCAUAACAAAGACACGAUGGCAGAGAGAACAUCGAUACUCUUUUGGCUGGUGGUGUACCUCAUAUCUUCAUUUAUUUUGGUAAUAGUGGAAUUAUUCCAUAAACUACACGCCGCAAUCUUUCGCCAGCGUGAAGAAGAGAAGGAGCUUGAUACUGUAUCAGAGUACAUGGAACUAUAUGCCUCCUGAGAAUGACCUCUGUAUGUCCUUGACAUGUCCUUCAGAUUUCGGGUCUAACAGUGUUGGUCCCUUAAUGGCAAUGUCUAUUGCUGAACUCAUUCAUGAGGGCUGUAAAUCUACUAUACUUCAAGAACAUUUUGCGGUCAAUCUGUGAGAUAACAUCAGCGAAGAAAAAGUGUUUGCUUGUUAAAAAAACAUACAUGUAAAUGUAUCUUAGGGUUGUGAACGUUAACAUUGAUGAAUAAAAUGCUGUUUAAACUCUC